CCUACGGGGGGCAGCAGUGAGGAAUAUUGGUCAAUGGGCGGAAGGCUGAACCAGCCAAGCCGCGUGAGGGACGAAGGUUCCGAGCAUUGUAAACUUCUUUUGUCAGGGGACAAAAGCAGGCACGUGAGCCUGAACGAGGGUACUUGAAGAAAAAGCAUCGGCUAACUCCGUGCAAGCAGCCGCGGUACUACGGAGGAUGCGAGCGUUAUCCGGAUUUAUUGGGUUUAAAGGGUGCGUAGGCGGACUGUUAAGUCAGCGGUAAAAGCCCGGGGCUCAACCCCGGCGAGCCGUUGAAACUGGCGGGCUUGAGAUGGCGAGAGGUACGCGGAAGGCGCAGUGUAGCGGUGAAAUGCUUAGAUAUUGCGCAGAACGCCGAUGGCGAAGGCAGCAUACCGGCGGCGAACUGACGCUGAGGCACGAAAGCGUGGGUAUCGAACAGGAUUAGAUACCCUAGUAGUC
rnacentral:rRNA from 1 species